UUUCACAUUUAAAAACUCAUUUGAAGGAAGGUAAAGGUGUAACCUGUCCAUUUAAAAAGUGCAAAAGAACUUUUACUAUUUUGUCUACAUUCACAUCACGUUUUUGUUGUGGGUAAUCAUAUGUUGUGACUUCACUUUUACAGAGGUGUGCUACAGCUGCAGAUCUUGAAGGAACACACAACCUGCCGCCAAGUCCAUGACUCAUUGCCCUUGAAACAGACGGCAGUGAACCCACGUCUCCACUCUCCCCUGCCAAAUCAUGGACUACCAGUGGAACUUUUAAAAUGCAACCCUUUGAAUUAUUUGGAGCAGCAGCAGGACCUGGAUCAGUCUACCUUAUUUUCAGAGGUGUGUUCAGGACUCAUUACUCGUUCUCGUUGGUUUUGUUUGGCUGUUCACAACGUUUUUAACUGGCUAACAUUUUAAAGAUGUACCAGCAUGGUUCUUAUGCAGUGUGUAUGUGAUUUAAAUAUUUUACAGUUCUGGAUUAGUUUGAUGAAGACAACAGAGUAUUGAAAUUGCUUAUAUUCCUAAACUUUAUUCCCUGUUGCAUUGUCCAUUAUUUUUCCAUCCAUCCAUCCGGUCCGGAAAUUUUACAUUACAAGCUUGUAAAGCUUUGUUCUUAUACCUUUGGUUGACAAGCUGUUUUUUUUUUUGUAACUUUUAACCUUUGGCACUUCUACUUUUCUGGUUAUUUAACAGCUUGUGUGCAUUAUGUUGGAACCAUGGGAGUUAUGCAUUUAAAACGGUGUAUGAAUAUAUAUUUUUCAGUCAAUUCUUGACUAUUUUUACAUUCAGGUUGCAAUACCUUUUGACAUUUAUGUCAAAAGCAAAUGUUGCUGUUCUUUAAAAAUGUAAUAUUUUGUUGCACUGCUGUGUGUCGGUUUUAAACAUUAACACUGAAAUAAAGUAUGUUUAAAAUGUA